UACAGAGGUCUCAAGCGUUGUUCGGAUUCAUUGGGCGUAAAGGGUGCGUAGGCGGCGCGGUAAGUCGGGUGUGAAAUCUCGGGGCUUAACUCCGAAACUGCAUUCGAUACUGCCGUGCUUGAGGACUGGAGAGGAGACUGGAAUUCCCGGUGUAGCGGUGAAAUGCGCAGAUAUCGGGAGGAACACCAAUGGCGAAGGCAGCUCGCUGGGACGUUACUGACGCUGAGACGCGAAAGCGUGGGGAGCAAACAGG
rnacentral:rRNA from 1 species